rnacentral:ncRNA from 1 species
ACAUAACUUUGGAGAAUCUCAUUAAAUUGAGUGCCGAAGGGGCAAAGCGUUUUCGCUAAUCUCUCAGGCAAAAGGACAAAGUAU